rnacentral:rRNA from 1 species
AUUGAACGCUGGCGGCAGGCCUAACACAUGCAAGUCGAGCGGAAGAAGGGAGCUGCUUCCUGGAUCCAGCGGCGGACGCGGGAGGAAGGCCUAUGAAUGUGCCUCUGCGUGGUGGAGGAGGUCCGCAAAUGGGCGCGAAUGCUACAUACGCCUAGCGUGGGAAGGUGGGGGAGGGUGGCAUUCGAGCCUAUUACAUUAGCCUAGGUCGGAUUAGCUAGUGGGUGGGGUAAAGGCCUACCUAGGCGACGAUCCGUAACUGGUCUGAGAGGAUGAGCAGGCACACUGGAACUGAGACACGGUCCAGACUCCUACGGGAGGCAGCAGUGGGGAAUAUUGGACAAUGGGCGCAAGCCUGAUGCAGCCAUGCCGCGUGUGUGAAGAAGGUCUUCGGGUUGUAAAGUACUUUCAGUUGGGAGGAAGGGAAUUAAGUUAAUACCUUGCCUCAUUGACGUUACCCGCAGAAUAAGCACCGGCUAACUCCGUG